UGGGGAAUAUUGCACAAUGGGCGCAAGCCUGAUGCAGCCAUGCCGCGUGUGUGAAGAAGGCCUUCGGGUUGUAAAGCACUUUCAGCGAGGAGGAAGGUGGUGAGCUUAAUACGCUCAUCAAUUGACGUUACUCGCAGAAGAAGCACCGGCUAACUCCGUGCCAGCAGCCGCGGUAAUACGGAGGGUGCAAGCGUUAAUCGGAAUUACUGGGCGUAAAGCGCACGCAGGCGGUUUGUUAAGUCAGAUGUGAAAUCCCCGGGCUCAACCUGGGAACUGCAUUUGAAACUGGCAAGCUAGAGUCUCGUAGAGGGGGGUAGAAUUCCAGGUGUAGCGGUGAAAUGCGUAGAGAUCUGGAGGAAUACCGGUGGCGAAGGCGGCCCCCCUGGACGAAGACUGACGCUCAGGUGCGAAAGCGUGGGGCAGCAAACAGGAUUAGAUACCCUGGUAGUCCACGCUGUAAACGAUGUCGAUUUGGAGGUUGUGCCCCUUGAGGCGUGGCUUCCGGAGCUAACGCGUUAAAUCGACCGCCUGGGGAGUACGGCCGCAAGGUUAAAACUUAAAUGAAUUGAC
rnacentral:rRNA from 1 species